rnacentral:pre_miRNA from 1 species
UGUCAACAGGGGCAAUCUGAGAUCACAUGUUGGUACUUUUCUUUUUUCUCUGUAAAUGACAAGUGUGGUUUCAAUAUCUCAAUAUGUGUUCUCAGGUCGCCCCUGUAGAGCUA